rnacentral:rRNA from 1 species
GACGAACGCUGGCGGCGUGCCUAAUACAUGCAAGUCGAACGCAUUUUCUUUCACCGUAGCUUGCUACACCGAAAGAAAAUGAGUGGCGAACGGGUGAGUAACACGUGGGUAACCUGCCCAUCAGCGGGGGAUAACACUUGGAAACAGGUGCUAAUACCGCAUAAUUCCAUUUACCGCAUGGUAGAUGGGUGAAAGGCGCUUUUGCGUCACUGAUGGAUGGACCCGCGGUGCAUUAGCUAGUUGGUGGGGUAACGGCCUACCAAGGCUGCGAUGCAUAGCCGACCUGAGAGGGUGAUCGGCCACACCGGGACUGGGACACGGCCCAGGCUCCUACGGGGGGCAGCAGUAGGGAAUCUUCGGCAAUGGACGCAAGUCUGACCGAGCAACGCCGCGUGGGUGGAGGAGGUUUUCGGAUCGUAAAACUCUGUUGUUAGAGAAGAACAAGGAUGAGGGUGGAAAGUUCAUCCCUUGACGGUAUCUAACCAGAAAGCCACGGCUAACUACGUG